AAUCAACCGAGAUUCCCUUAGUAGCGGCGAGCGAAAGGGGAGCAGCCCUUAAGCUUAAUUGGUUUUAGUGGAACGCUCUGGAAAGUGCGGCGAUACAGGGUGAUAGCCCCGUACACGAAAAGGCNNNNNNNNNNNNNNNNNNNNNNNNNNNNNNNNNNNNNNNNNNNNNNNGAAGCGAACCCGGGGAACUGAAACAUCUAAGUACCCGGAGGAAAAGAAAUCAACCGAGAUUCCCUUAGUAGCGGCGAGCGAAAGGGGAGCAGCCCUUAAGCUUAAUUGGUUUUAGUGGAACGCUCUGGAAAGUGCGGCGAUACAGGGUGAUAGCCCCGUACACGAAAAGGCCUUUUAAGUGAAAUCGAGUAGGACGGGACACGUGAUAUCCUGUUUGAAUAUGGGGGGACCAUCCUCCAAGGCUAAAUACUCCCAACUGACCGAUAGUGAACCAGUACCGUGAGGGAAAGGCGAAAAGAACCCCUGUGAGGGGAGUGAAAUAGAUCCUGAAACCGUGUGCGUACAAGCAGUAGGAGCAGACUUGUUCUGUGACUGCGUACCUUUUGUAUAAUGGGUCAGCGACUUAUUGUCAGUGGCAAGGUUAACCGUAUAGGGGAGCCGUAGCGAAAGCGAGUCUUAAUAGGGCGUUCAGUCGCUGGCAAUAGACCCGAAACCCGGCGAUCUAUCCAUGGGCAGGUUGAAGGUUGGGUAACACUAACUGGAGGACCGAACCCACUAAUGUUGAAAAAUUAGGGGAUGACUUGUGGAUCGGAGUGAAAGGCUAAUCAAGCCGGGAGAUAGCUGGUUCUCCCCGAAAACUAUUUAGGUAGUGCGUCAUGUCUCACCCGCGGGGGUAGAGCACUGUUUGGGCUAGGGGGUCAUCCCGACUUACCAACCCCAUGCAAACUACGAAUACCGCGGAGUGCAAUCAUGGCAGACAGACAGCGGGUGCUAACGUCCGUUGUCAAGAGGGAAACAACCCAGACCGCCAGCUAAGGUCCCAAAUGCCAGUUAAGUGGGAAACGAUGUGGGAAGGCUUAGACAGCUAGGAGGUUGGCUUAGAAGCAGCCACCCUUUAAAGAAAGCGUAAUAGCUCACUAGUCGAGUCGGCCUGCGCGGAAGAUGUAACGGGGCUAAAACUGGCAACCGAAGCUGCGGAUGCACUUAGUGCAUGGUAGGGGAGCGUUCUGUAAGCCGUUGAAGGUGUGUUGAGAAGCAUGCUGGAGGUAUCAGAAGUGCGAAUGCUGACAUGAGUAACGAUAAGGGGAGUGAAAAACUCCCCCGCCGGAAGAUCAAGGUUUCCUGUCCAACGUUAAUCGGGACAGGGUUAGUCGGCCCCUAAGGCGAGGCGGAAACGCGUAGUCGAUGGGAAACAGGUUAAUAUUCCUGUACCACUUUUUACUGCGAUGGGGGGACGGAGAAGGCUAGAGCAGCACGGCGUUGGUUGUCCGUGUUUAAGGUCGUAGGCUGGUGUCUUAGGUAAAUCCGGGAUGCUAAGGCUGAGAACUGAUGACGAGUGUUCCUCGGAACAUGAAGUGCUUGAUGCCAUGCUUCCAAGAAAAGCCUCUAAGCUUCAGGUAAAAAGAGACCGUACUCCAAACCGACACAGGUGAUCAGGUAGAGAAUACCAAGGCGCUUGAGAGAACUCGGGUGAAGGAACUAGGCAAAAUGGCACCGUAACUUCGGGAGAAGGUGCACCGCUUUCGGUCAUGGGAUUUACUCCCGCAGCUGAGGGCGGUCGAAGAUACCAGGCCCCUGCAACUGUUUAUUAAAAACACAGCACUCUGCAAACACGUAAGUGGACGUAUAGGGUGUGACGCCUGCCCGGUGCCGGAAGGUUAAUUGAUGGGGUUAGCGCAAGCGAAGCUCUUGAUCGAAGCCCCGGUAAACGGCGGCCGUAACUAUAACGGUCCUAAGGUAGCGAAAUUCCUUGUCGGGUAAGUUCCGACCUGCACGAAUGGCGUAAUGAUGGGGGCGCUGUCUCCACCCGAGACUCAGUGAAAUUGAAAUCGCGGUUAAGAUGCCGUGUUCCCGCGGCUAGACGGAAAGACCCCGUGAACCUUUACUAUAGCUUUGCACUGAACUUUGAACCUAUCUGUGUAGGAUAGGUGGGAGGCUUUGAAGUUGGGACGCUAGUCCUGAUGGAGCCGUCCUUGAAAUACCACCCUGGUAUGUUUGAGGUUCUAACGUAGGCCCCUAAUCGGGGUUGCGGACAGUGUAUGGUGGGUAGUUUGACUGGGGCGGUCUCCUCCCAAAGAGUAACGGAGGAGCACGAAGGUGUGCUAAUCAUGGUCGGAAAUCAUGAGGUUAGUGUAAAGGCAAAAGCACGCUUGACUGCGAGACAGACAUGUCGAGCAGGUACGAAAGUAGGUCUUAGUGAUCCGGUGGUUCUGUAUGGAAGGGCCAUCGCUCAACGGAUAAAAGGUACUCCGGGGAUAACAGGCUGAUACCGCCCAAGAGUUCA
rnacentral:rRNA from 1 species